CCUACGGGUGGCAGCAGUGAGGAAUAUUGGUCAAUGGGCGGAAGCCUGAACCAGCCAAGUAGCGUGCAGGAUGACGGCCCUACGGGUUGUAAACUUCUUUUAUAUGGGAAUAAAAUGUUCCACGUGUGGGAUUUUGUAUGUACCAUAUGAAUAAGGAUCGGCUAACUUCGUGCCAGCAGCCGCGGUAAUACGGAGGAUCCGAGCGUUAUCCGGAUUUAUUGGGUUUAAAGGGAGCGUAGGUGGAUUGUUAAGUCAGUUGUGAAAGUUUGCGGCUCAACCGUAAAAUUGCAGUUGAAACUGGCAGUCUUGAGUACAGUAGAGGUGGGCGGAAUUCGUGGUGUAGCGGUGAAAUGCUUAGAUAUCACGAAGAACUCCGAUUGCGAAGGCAGCUCACUGGACUGCAACUGACACUGAGGCUCGAAAGUGUGGGUAUCAAACAGGAUUAGAUACCCCAGUAGUC
rnacentral:rRNA from 1 species